GACGAACGCUGGCGGCGUGCUUAACACAUGCAAGUCGAACGGAAAGGCCCUGCUUUUGUGGGGCGCUCGAGUGGCGAACGGGUGAGUAACACGUGAGUAACCUGCCCUUGACUUUGGGAUAACUUCAGGAAACUGGGGCUAAUACCGGAUAGGAGCUCCUGCUGCAUGGUGGGGGUUGGAAAGUUUCGGCGGUUGGGGAUGGACUCGCGGCUUAUCAGCUUGUUGGUGGGGUAGUGGCUUACCAAGGCUUUGACGGGUAGCCGGCCUGAGAGGGUGACCGGCCACAUUGGGACGGAGAUACGGCCCAGACUCCUACGGGAGGCAGCAGUGGGGAAUAUUGCACAAGGGGCGGAAGCCUGAUGCAGCAACGCCGCGUGCGGGAUGACGGCCUUCGGGUUGUAAACCGCUUUCGCCUGUGACGAAGCGUGAGUGACGGUAAUGGGUAAAGAAGCACCGGCUAACUACGU
rnacentral:rRNA from 1 species